rnacentral:rRNA from 1 species
GAUGAACGCUAGCGGCAGGCUUAAUAUAUGCAAGUCGAGGGGCAGCAGCUUUGUAGCAAUACAGAGGCUGGCGACCGGCAAACGGGUGCGGAACACGUACACAACCUUCCUUUAAGUGGGAAUAGCCCAGAGAAAUUUGGAUUAAUACCCCGUAACAUUAUGAUGUGGCAUCACAUUAUAAUUAUAGCUCCGGCGCUUAAUGACGGGUGUGCGCCUGAUUAGGAGUUGGCGGGGUAACGGCCCACCAAGCCUGCGAUCAGUAACUGGUGUGAGAGCACGACCAGUCACACGGGCACUGAGACACGGGCCCGACUCCUACGGGAGGCAGCAGUAAGGAAUAUUGGGCAAUGGAGGCAACUCUGACCCAGCCAUGCCGCGUGGAGGAUGAAGGU